rnacentral:rRNA from 1 species
AACGCGAAGAACCUUACCACUUCUUGACAUGGAAAUCAUACCUAUUCGAAGGGAUAGGGUUGGUUCGGCCGGAUUUUACACAGGUGCCGCAUGGCUGUCGUCAGCUCGUGUCGUGAGAUGUUGGGUUAAGUCCCGCAACGAGCGCAACCCUCAUCCUUAGUUGCCAUCAGGUAAUGCUGAGCACUUUAAGGAAACUGCCAGUGAUAAGCUGGAGGAAGAUGGGGAUGAUGUCAAGUCAUCAUGGCCUUUAUGAAGUGGGCUACACACGUGCUACAAUGGUGUCUACAGUGGGCUGCAAGGUGCGCAAGCCUAAGCUAAUCCCUAAAAGACAUCUCAGUUCGGAUUGUACUCUGCAACUCGAGUGCAUGAAGUUGGAAUCGCUAGUAAUCGUGGAUCAGCAUGCCACGGUGAAUACGUUCCCGGGCCUUGUACACACCG